rnacentral:rRNA from 1 species
UACAGAGGUCUCAAGCGUUGUUCGGAUUCAUUGGGCGUAAAGGGUGCGUAGGUGGUCCGUUAAGUCAGUUGUGAAAUCCCCGGGCUCAACCCGGGAACUGCUUCUGAUACUGGCGGACUUGAGGCCAGUAGAGGUCACUGGAACUGACGGUGGAGCGGUGAAAUGCGUAGAUAUCGUCAGGAACGCCGGUGGUGAAGACGGGUGACUGGGCUGGUUCUGACACUGAGGCACGAAAGCGUGGGGAGCGAACGGG